GCGGUGGAGCAUGUGGUUUAAUUCGAAGCAACGCGAAGAACCUUACCAGGUCUUGACAUCCCCUGACAACCCGAGAGAUCGGGCGUUCCCCUUCGGGGGACAGGGUGACAGGUGGUGCAUGGUUGUCGUCAGCUCGUGUCGUGAGAUGUUGGGUUAAGUCCCGCAACGAGCGCAACCCUCGACCUUAGUUGCCAUCAUUUAGUUGGGCACUCUAAGGAGACUGCCGGUGUUAAACCGGAGGAAGGUGGGGAUGACGUCAAGUCCUCAUGGCCCUUAUGUCCAGGGCUACACACGUGCUACAAUGGCCGGUACAAAGGGCAGCAAAGCCGCGAGGUGGAGCCAAUCCCAGAAAGCCGGUCUCAGUUCGGAUUGGAGUCUGCAACUCGACUCCAUGAAGUUGGAAUCGCUAGUAAUCGCGGAUCAGCAUGCCGCGGUGAAUACGUUCCCGGGCCUU
rnacentral:rRNA from 1 species